rnacentral:rRNA from 1 species
AACGAACGCUGGCGGCAUGCCUAACACAUGCAAGUCGAACGAGACCUUCGGGUCUAGUGGCGCACGGGUGCGUAACGCGUGGGAACCUGCCCUUAGGUUCGGAAUAACUCCCCGAAAGGGGUGCUAAUACCGGAUAAUGUCUUCGGACCAAGAUUUAUCGCCUUUGGAUGGGCCCGCGUUGGAUUAGCUAGUUGGUAGGGUAAAAGCCUACCAAGGCGACGAUCCAUAGCUGGUCUGAGAGGAUGAUCAGCCACACUGGGACUGAGACACGGCCCAGACUCCUACGGGAGGCAGCAGUGGGGAAUAUUGGACAAUGGGCGAAAGCCUGAUCCAGCAAUGCCGCGUGAGUGAUGAAGGCCUUAGGGUUGUAAAGCUCUUUUACCCGGGAUGAUAAUGACAGUACCGGGAGAAUAAGCGCCGGCUAACUCCGUG